CACGGGGGGAGCAAGCGUUGUUCGGAAUCACUGGGCGUAAAGGGUGCGUAGGCGGUCGGGUAAGUCUGAUGUGAAAUCUCACAGCUUAACUGUGAAACUGCAUUGGAUACUAUCCGGCUAGAGGAAUGGAGGGGAGACUGGAAUACUUGGUGUAGCAGUGAAAUGCGUAGAUAUCAAGUGGAACACCAGUGGCGAAGGCGAGUCUCUGGACAUUUCCUGACGCUGAGGCACGAAAGCCAGGGGAGCAAACGGG
rnacentral:rRNA from 1 species